ACCUGACUGCUAUCGGAUUGAUACUAAGCCAUGCGAGUCAUUGUAGCAAUACAAGGCAUACGGCUCAGUAACGCGUAGUCAACCUAACCUAUGGACGGGAAUAACCUCGGGAAACUGAGAAUAAUGCCCGAUAGAACAUUAUACCUGGAAUGGUUUAUGUUCCAAAUGAUUUAUCGCCGUAGGAUGGGACUGCGGCCUAUCAGUUUGUUGGUGAGGUAAUGGCCCACCAAGACUAUUACAGGUACGGGCUCUGAGAGGAGUAGCCCGGAGAUGGGUACUGAGACACGGACCCAGGCCCUAUGGGGCGCAGCAGGCGAGAAAACUUUGCAAUGUGCGAAAGCACGACAAGGUUAAUCCGAGUGAUUUCUGCUAAAGAGAUCUUUUGUUAGUUCUAGAAACACUAACGAAUAAGGGGUGGGCAAGUUCUGGUGUCAGCCGCCGCGGUAAAACCAGCACCUCAAGUGGUCAGGAUGAUUAUUGGGCCUAAAGCAUCCGUAGCCGGCUCUGUAAGUUUUCGGUUAAAUCUGUACGCUCAACGUACAGGCUGCCGGGAAUACUGCAGAACUAGGGAGUGGGAGAGGUAGACGGUACUCGGUAGGAAGUGGUAAAAUGCUUUGAUCUAUCGAUGACCACCUGUGGCGAAGGCGGUCUACCAGAACACGUCCGACGGUGAGGGAUGAAAGCUGGGGGAGCAAACCGGAUUAGAUACCCGGGUAGUCCCAGCUGUAAACUAUGCAAACUCAGUGAUGCAUUGGCUUGUGGCCAAUGCAGUGCUGCAGGGAAGCCGUUAAGUUUGCCGCCUGGGAAGUACGUACGCAAGUAUGAAACUUAAAGGAAUUGGCGGGGGAGCACCACAAGGGGUGAAGCCUGCGGUUC
rnacentral:rRNA from 1 species